CCCAGGAGUGCAGGACCCUGAGGAACUUUUCCUCCGUGCGCGCCAUCCUGGCCGCUCUGCAGAGCGUGUCCAUUCAUCGACUGCAGGAGACUUGGGGGAAAGUUUCCAGGAGGCACACAGUUACCUUUAAAAAACUGUUCAA